CCUACGGGAGGCAGCAGUGGGGAAUAUUGCGCAAUGGGCGAAAGCCUGACGCAGCGACGCCGCGUGCGGGAUGAAGGUCUUCGGAUCGUAAACCUCUGUCAGCAGGGAAGAACGGUCACUGUGCUAAUCAGCAGUGAAUUGACGGUACCUGCAAAGGAAGCACCGGCUAACUCCGUGCCAGCAGCCGCGGUAAUACGGAGGGUGCGAGCGUUAAUCGGAAUUACUGGGCGUAAAGCGCUCGUAGGCGGUAUGUCAAGUCAAGGGUGAAAUCCCCGCGCUCAACGUGGGAACUGCCUUGGAAACUGGCAAACUGGAGUGUGUGAGAGGAUAGUGGAAUGCCAGGUGUAGGAGUGAAAUGCGUAGAUAUCUGGAGGAACAUCAGUGGCGAAGGCGACUAUCUGGCACAUAACUGACGCUGAGGAGCGAAAGCGUGGGUAGCAAACAGGAUUAGAUACCCUGGUAGUC
rnacentral:rRNA from 1 species